UGGCUCAGUGGUUAAGAGCACUGGCUACUCUUCCAGAGGUCCUGAGUUCAAAUCUCAG
rnacentral:tRNA from 1 species